rnacentral:rRNA from 1 species
UGAAGGACGUGAUAAGCUGCGAAAAGUCACGGGGAGGUGCAAAUAACCUUUGAUCCGUGAAUCUCCGAAUGGGACAACCCGAUAUCCUGAAGGGAUAUCACCUUACUUAAGUAAGGGGCUAACGCAGGGAACUGAAACAUCUUAGUACCUGCAGGAAAAGAAAAUAACAAUGAUUCCCCCAGUAGUGGCGAGCGAACGGGGAAGAGCCCAAACCGUUUAUGUUACGGCAUAAGCGGGGUUGUAGGACCACAGCGUUGCAAGAACUCUUGUGAGAAGAACGAUCUGGAAAGUUCGACCACAGACGGUGACAGUCCGGUAUUCGAAGCAAGACGAAGCAUAGUGGUAUCCUGAGUAGCGCGGA